ensembl:lncRNA
AUCACCACCACACACCCUUGCUUCUUAAACUGGCUCCAGAUGAAUCUCAGUCCAAGGCUCAGGAAUUCGUGAAGUAUCACCCUCACUCUUUCCUGACAAAGGCCCGUCUAGUCAAAGCUAUGGUUUCUCCAGUGGUCAUGUAUGGAUGUGAGAGUUGGACCAUAAAGAAAGCUGAGUGCUGAAGAAUUGAUGCUUUCUAACUGUGGCGCUAGAGAAGACUCUUGAGAGUCCCCUGGACAACAAGGAUCCAACCAGUCCAUUCCAAAGGAAAUCCACACUGAAUAUUCAUUGGAAGGACUGAUGUUGAAGCCGAAGCUCCAACCCUUUGGCCGCCUGAUGCAAAGAGCUAACUCAUUGGAAAAGACCCUGAUGCUGGGAAAGAUUGAGGGCAGGAGGAGAAGGGGACAACAGAGGAUGAGAUGGCUGGAUGGCAUCACCGACUUGAUGGACAUGGGUUUGAGCAAAUUCCAAGAGAUGGUGAAGGACAGGGAGGCCUGGUGUGCUGCCGUCCGUGGGAUCGCAAAGAGUCAGACACGACUGAGCGCCUGCGCGACAAAAACCCUCACCUUGACCCCUGUCAUGCCAGCAGAAGUGGACGAGACGGCACAUUGAACGCCUCUUUGGAAGGACAUGGCCCAGUACAGGCUCCUGGGCUUCCCCUGCUCAUGUUCGGCUGUGCCAUCCACCUGGCUACCUUGCCGGGGGGCUCUGUCCAUAUGCUGAGGCUCCUACACCCCCUUGUGCAUAAGAAUCACACAGAAAGGUGGCAGAUUGCAUCUUCCCAACCCCACGGAGCACAGGCCCUGACUCUGCAGGGCUGGCGGGCGGGUAGGGGGCAGGGCUCUGCCUGUUAACCCAGCACCUCUGGGGGUUCUGACACUGGGGCCUGUGCACACCCCAGGGCACUGCAGAAGAUUUAACAGGAUGCCCCUGGCUGUAGUCUGGAUGCCGCUCCGGCUGCGUGUGUUUCUGCACCCGGAAUCUGUCUUCUGGAGGAACAACAAACACCCUGGCUCUGGGUCUCUACCACGGAGACUGAGGGCACUGGCUCCGACGAGGGCCGGAGUGAAGAUGAACGGGCCUCAGCCACUGAGAAGCACGGGGUUCCUCAAGAUUUAACAAGAUGCAAGCGAUGGGGACAGCGCUUCCCAGGUGGUGGAGUGGUAAAGAAUCCUCCUGCCAGUGCGGGAGACGCAGGAGCCUCAGGCUGGAUCCCUGGGUCGGGAAGAUCCCCCUGGAGUAGAAAAUGGCAACCAGCUCCAAUAUUCUUGCCUGGAAAAUUCCACGGACAGAGGAGCCUGGCCAGCUACAGUCCGUAGGAUCAAAGAGACAGACAUCUCUGAGCAACUGAGCACAAUACACAGCAAGUCAUGGGGACAAGGGCAGGGUGACAAAUUGACUGCUCGACCAGAGCCCCGAAGAGAGGGAUGGACACGGCCAUUCCUGGCUGGCCACCGCGGCUGCUGUGGCCAAGCCACACGGUCUUUCCAUCUUAACCAGCAGAAACCCAAACAGUAUCACCCGUCUGGUCCAACCCGUGGUUGGCUGAAUAACGACCCUCAAGGGGUUCACGUCCUGCUCCCCAGAACCUGUGUCUGGGGUUGUAUGGGAAAAGAAAACUAACGAUGCAGAUGAAUUCACGGUGCCAGUCAGAUGAUCUUAAGUAGGGAGAGUCUCCAGGGCCCUGAGAAAGGGAAGCAGAAGGAAAGUCAGAGAGGGACCCUGCGGCAGGAGCUGGGGCAGGAGCUGCUGCCGCUCUGAACGUGGAAGGGACCACGAGCCAAGGAAUGAGGGCGGUGGGCCCUAGAAGCUGUAGAAAGCCAGGAGGCAGUUCUCUAAAGUUUCCACCAGCACCCAGCUCUCCAACGCCUUCCUUUUAGGCCAACGGGGACUGCGCUGGACUUGUGAACAAUGGAACUGUGAGAUAAUUCGUUUAUGUUGUUUGGAGCCGUGGGAUUCGUGAUAAUUUGUUAAGGCAGCGAGACUCACAGAGCCCUCUUGCUCGCCCCAGGACCGUGUUACUAAGCGGCAGAGAAGUGACGGUAGGGGCGGGAAGCUGUACCCGGUGGGUCCGACUCGCUUUCCUGCCUAACGCUGGGCUGUUUUCUGUUCAUCCCUGCGCUUGGCUGUCUAUGUGUUUCUUGCUGGCUUUAUAUCAACACAGCCCAAUAACACCAUGAAUAACACUGACAGCAGAAAUUGGCAAUGCCCUUUGCGUGUUUGCCCAAAGCAGACAAACAGAGUUCUGGGUGGUGGAGUGGAAACAGAGGCAGUAGCUUGAAAAGUUUAUUGCGGAGCCUUUAUGCUGUUCAGGGCUGAGAACGCCUUUGAAGUAGCUACCCUCCCAUCUGGCAGGUGAGUCAACAGCUCCAAGGGAUCAAGGCCAGAGGCCCAGCAAGAGACAACUCCCGGACUCAAUUCUCACAUUCGCUCGUGCCUUAGCCACGGCCUUGGGCCUCUAAUCAACUAGCAUUUCAGGUCAGACAUUGAAACACUGCUUGUAAAGGAACUGAAAGCACAUUGCCGAAUAAUUCAGAUAUUUGCUGGCAAAUCUUAGACCAUCGACAGUGAUGAAGUCAUCUGCAGACCAACUGGUAUCUCGUCCUAUGUCACUUCCGUCCCGUCUGACUCUUUGCAACCCCAUGGACAGUAGUCCCCAGGCUCCUCUGUCCAUGGAAUUUUCCAGGCAAGAAUACUGGAGUGAGUUGCCAUUUCCUUCUCCAGGAGAAUCUUCCCAACCCAGGAAUUGAACCCAGGUCUCCAGCGUCCCCCACUUGGCAGCCAAGAAAGGGAAACAACCAGUGUCCACGGAUGGAUGAAUGGAUAAGCGAAAUGCGGCCCAUCCAGACAGUGGAAUAUUCAUGCAGUCUUUAAAAGGAAGGACAUUCUGACACCUGCUGCCGCCUGCCAGGAGGGAAAAUGUAAGAGAUCUGGGUUCGAUACCUGGGUUGAAAAUAUCCCCUGGAG